CCUACGGGGGGCUGCAGUGGGGAAUAUUGGACAAUGGGGGAACCCUGAUCCAGCCAUGCCGCGUGUGUGAAGAAGGCCCUCGGGUUGUAAAGCACUUUCAGUGAGGAAGAACGCCUGGUGGUUAAUACCCAUCAGGAAAGACAUCACUCACAGAAGAAGCACCGGCUAACUCCGUGCCAGCAGCCGCGGUAAUACGGAGGGUGCGAGCGUUAAUCGGAAUUACUGGGCGUAAAGCGCGCGUAGGUGGCUUGAUAAGCCGGUUGUGAAAGCCCCGGGCUCAACCUGGGAACGGCAUCCGGAACUGUCAAGCUAGAGUGCAGGAGAGGAAGGUAGAAUUCCCGGUGUAGCGGUGAAAUGCGUAGAGAUCGGGAGGAAUACCAGUGGCGAAGGCGGCCUUCUGGACUGACACUGACACUGAGGUGCGAAAGCGUGGGUAGCAAACAGGAUUAGAUACCCUGGUAGUC
rnacentral:rRNA from 1 species